AAUAAAUAUUAUUAUUGGAGGGUAGUAUGUUUAGGCCGUCCGAUGGAGGGUAAAUAUCAAAAUGGGUUAAAAAGACAAAGUGCAUUAAACACUCCUUACACCUCCCCAGCACAUCAGAGCACGCGUAUAACUUUUUUCAAUAAAGCAUCGUCACAUCUCCAUCUCUUUACCAAAAAUAGCGACCAAACCAUCCGAUCCUUCUCCUUCUCCCUUCACCGCCUCUUCUCCACCGCGCCCAGACGAGUAACUCUAAGCCUCCAGUCGCGUCACUAGAGCUACUACUAUGGCUGCCGCUAGCCUACGAGAUUCUCCCCGUUUGUUUACCUCCAAGACCAUGAAUUCGAAAAACCAGAAAAAUCAGUCUCCUAAAUUCGUAUAACAACGGAAAAAUGAUGUGAUCCUCCAUUAAGGACCUCAAAAGGGUCCAAAUAUGAGGAAGGCAUCAAAUUCUUUGAAGGAUUUUUGAUUUUGAAUUUCAAAUUCCCCUUGUACAGUCUUUCCACAUUUUAAGGGUUUCAAAUCCGGACUUUCAAGUAUGGAAUUACCUAUUUAUAGGUUCGUUCUUCACUCCGUCGAGACAAGGAAGAGAGGUGAGAAAAAAGGGGAAAGCAUAAAAAUGGCUUGGAAAAGUUUUCAAAUCCGCGAAAAAGAGGAGAAAAAUCAGGAAAAGGAGGAGUGAGAGAGGCAACAAAGGAGAGAAAAGUAGAGAAAAAUAGAAAACGAGUGAAAAAAAACCAAAAAAAAACCCAGUGAAAAUAGUUUGAGUUCCGGAGUUCGAGUUUUGGUGGCCGGAAAAUUACUUGACGUCGGAGCUCCGGUUUUGCUGCCCAACAAAAGUCCUUGAAAUACAGGAGCUUGGCUUUGUUGAAGUUAGAUGACACUCUGUGAUUGAUGGAGUUAUUCGAUGCAAUUAGAUGAUGGUUCUCGAAGUUAUUCGACGUCGGCAGGUGGCUGCUCUGAUUGGUGGAGUUUAUUGAAAGAAGUAAAAUAGUCUAAUUUUGCUAUGAGGAUCCUUUGCCUUGACUCUUUUAUCCAAAUCUUGGAUGUGCCUGCAAAAGAAUUCAACUGAAAUUCUUAGAGCUAGAGAGAAUUAGGACAAAUGUAUGUAAAGAAAAUAAAGUAAGGAAUGAAUAUUUUGGCUCAUGUUGUAGUGAUAAGAUGCGUGGUGCACUGAUCUUGUCUAAAAGCUUGACUUGAUCGUCCUUUCCAAUUUUUGUUUUCCUUCGCUGAAAGAAAAUUCUUCGUUGGGAGAGGGUGUUAAUUUAUGUCGACUUGGGGAUUCUGACUUUGUCUA